rnacentral:rRNA from 1 species
UCCUCACAAGCUAGCCCGCCCAUUUAAAGACACCAAUUCAACAUCACCAACCCCCAACACACUAACUCAUAUUAAACAAAUCAUUUUUCCACCUAAGUAUGGGCGACAGAAAAGAACCCAGGAGCAAUAGAGAAAGUACCGCAAGGGAAAGCUGAAAGAGAAAUGAAACAACUAACAAAGGAAAAAGAAGCAGAGACUAAACCUCGUACCUUUUGCAUCAUGAGUUAGCCAGAACCCCUCAAGCAAAGUGAACUUUAGUUUGAAUCCCCGAAACUAAGUGAGCUACUCCAAGACAGCCUAAUAUAGGGCGAACCCGUCUCUGUGGCAAAAGAGUGGGAAGAGCUUUGAGUAGAGGUGACAAACCUACCGAACUUAGCCAUAGCUGGUUGCCUAAGAACUGGAUACAAGUUCAGCCUUUUGAUUCCUUUCGUUAAAUCCGGCAAUGCCCCCUAAAAACCCAAAAGAAUUGGUCAAAAGAGUUAGUCGAGGGGGGUACAGCCCCCUCGAAACAAGAUACAACUUUAUAUAGUAGGCAAAGGAUCAAAUCGCCCUAGGCAAUACAUUUCAGUGGGCCUAAAAGCAGCCACCAAAAUAGAAAGCGUUAAAGCUCAGACAUACCUUCCCCCAUUAUUACGACAAGAACAUCCUAAACCCCUUAAACUACUAGGCCAUUCCAUGCCCACAUGGAAGAGACCCUGCUAAUAUGAGUAAUAAGAGGGCUAGACCCUCUCCUGGCACCAGUGUAUAUCAGAACGAACCCCCACCGAAAACUAACGCCCUCAACUAAAGAGAGUACUGGAAGGGAACAACCUAAAACUAGAAAAACCUCCAACAAACUAAGCGUUAACCCUACACAGGUGUGCCCCAAGAAAGACUUAAAGGAAAAGAAGGAACUCGGCAAACACUAGCCUCGCCUGUUUACCAAAAACAUCGCCUCUUGCAUCCCCUGUAUAAGAGGUCACGCCUGCCCUGUGACUAUAAGUUUAACGGCCGCGGUAUUUUAACCGUGCGAAGGUAGCGCAAUAACUUGCCUUUUAAAUGAAGACCUGUAUGAAUGGCAUAACGAGGGCUAAGCUGUCUCCUUUUCCCAGUCAAUGAAAUUGAUCUGCCCGUGCAGAAGCGAGCAUAAUUACGUAAGACGAGAAGACCCUAUGGAGCUUUCAGACACCAGAACAGCCCACGUUAAGCAAUCCCCGACAAAGGAUCAAACCAAGUGACUACUGUUCCCCUGUCUUUGGUUGGGGCGACCGCGGGGAAAAGAAAAACCCCCACGAGGAACGGGGAUACCCUCCCUUAAAAACAGAGCCCCAGCUCUAACAAACAGAACCUCUGACCAACAAGAUCCGGCACAGCCGAUCAACGGACCGAGUUACCCUAGGGAUAACAGCGCAAUCCCCUUUUAGAGCCCAUAUCGACAAGGGGGUUUACGACCUCGAUGUUGGAUCAGGACAUCCUAAUGGUGCAGCCGCUAUUAAGGGUUCGUUUGUUCAACGAUUAAAGUCCUACGUGAUCUGAGUUCAGACCGGAGAAAUCCAGGUCAGUUUCUAUCUACGAAACAUUCUUUUCUAGUACGAAAGGACCGAAAAGAAGGGGCCCCUGCCUCAGGCAAGCCCCCCCCCUCAUCUACUGACAAAAACUAAAGUAGACAAAAGGGAGUGUCCCUCUUGCCUGAGAAAAAGGCAU